GAUGAACGCUGGCGGCGUGCCUAAUACAUGCAAGUCGAGCGAACAGACGAGGAGCUUGCUCCUCUGACGUUAGCGGCGGACGGGUGAGUAACACGUGGAUAACCUACCUAUAAGACUGGGAUAACUUCGGGAAACCGGAGCUAAUACCGGAUAAUAUAUUGAACCGCAUGGUUCAAUAGUGAAAGACGGUUUUGCUGUCACUUAUAGAUGGAUCCGCGCCGCAUUAGCUAGUUGGUAAGGUAACGGCUUACCAAGGCAACGAUGCGUAGCCGACCUGAGAGGGUGAUCGGCCACACUGGAACUGAGACACGGUCCAGACUCCUACGGGAGGCAGCAGUAGGGAAUCUUCCGCAAUGGGCGAAAGCCUGACGGAGCAACGCCGCGUGAGUGAUGAAGUUCUUCGGAUCGUAAAACUCUGUUAUUAGGGAAGAACAAAUGUGUAAGUAACUAUGCACGUCUUGACGGUACCUAACCAGAAAGCCACGGCUAACUACGUG
rnacentral:rRNA from 1 species